UGGGGAAUCUUGCACAAUGGGGGCAACCCUGAUGCAGCGACGCCGCGUGAGCGACGAAGCCCUUCGGGGCGUAAAGCUCUUUCGACCGGAACGAUAAUGACGGUACCGGGAGAAGAAGCUGCGGCUAACUACGUGCCAGCAGCCGCGGUGAUACGUAGGCAGCAAGCGUUGUUCGGAGUUACUGGGCGUAAAGAGUGCGUAGGCGGUUUUCUAAGUUCGGUGUGAAAUCUCCCGGCUUAACUGGGAGGGUGCGCCGAAGACUGGGAAGCUGGAGUGUGGGAAAGGCAGGCGGAAUUCCUGGUGUAGCGGUGAAAUGCGUAGAUAUCAGGAGGAACACCGGCGGUGUAGACGGCUUGCUAGACCAUAACUGACGCUGAGGCACGAAAGCGUGGGUAGCAAACA
rnacentral:rRNA from 1 species